rnacentral:rRNA from 1 species
UCGAUGCAACGCGAAAAACCUUACCUACCCUUGACAUGUCCGGAAUCCUGCAGAGAUGCGGGAGUGCUCGAAAGAGAACCGGAACACAGGUGCUGCAUGGCUGUCGUCAGCUCGUGUCGUGAGAUGUUGGGUUAAGUCCCGCAACGAGCGCAACCCUUAUCAUUAGUUGCUACGCAAGGGCACUCUAAUGAGACUGCCGGUGACAAACCGGAGGAAGGUGGGGAUGACGUCAAGUCCUCAUGGCCCUUAUGGGUAGGGCUUCACACGUCAUACAAUGGUCGGUACAGAGGGUUGCCAAGCCGCGAGGUGGAGCCAAUCCCAGAAAGCCGAUCGUAGUCCGGAUUGUUCUCUGCAACUCGAGAGCAUGAAGUCGGAAUCGCUAGUAAUCGCGGAUCAGCAUGUCGCGGUGAAUACGUUCCCGGGUCUUGUACACACCGCCCGUCACACCAUGGGAGUGGAAUCUGGCAGAAGUAGGUAGCCUAACCGCAAGGAGGGCGCUUACCACGCUGGGUUUCAUGACUGGGGUGAAGUCGUAACAAGGUAACC